CCCACUUCCCCUUCCCCCUUUACUAUUUUAUAUGCAAGCAGCUUUCCUCCCCACAUGCUCUUCUCUCAGAGGGAGCCAGGAGCCCACUGCUGGAAGAGGGGCCACAACAGCACUGGGAGAAAUCAAGAAUAACCCCUCUCCUUAUCCCCCAGAUCAGUCUCUUCUUCCCACAGACUCUGCUUGCUCCUCACACAUCUCGGCCCCCCACUCUUAGGUCCACCAUGUGCUAUUCGAAGGUCAAGACCUCAGAAUUGGAAGAUUUCAGGCAACUUGUUCACCAGAAAGCUGACAGUUCAUAGACAGCAUUAAAUUGAGAAUAAAUGAGGAUGAUGAUUCAACAGACUUGGAAAAUAUUCAAAAUUUAACCUCUCAGUACGAGGAGGACAUCAAUAACUAUUUGAUGGAUACUGUCGAUGCUGAAUAUCAGAAACAAAAUCAGGACCACACUGGGGUCCGCAUCACUGAGCAGCUGAAGCUGAAGGAGAAAAUGAAGAAUGAUGAUGCCUCUUACAAUGAGCCAAUAACGGGAAAUACAACACUGGAAAAGGCCCUCAGUAUCUGGGAGUUGAUGCUGAAAAAGAUUAAGGAUGGGUGGAACAAAGUUCUUGAGUUUGUGAGGCAGAUAGUUGGUUUUGUGAAGAAGAUUAAAGAUGAUAUAGUAAAGGCAGUGAAAAGUAUAUGGGAGAUGUUGAAGAGCCUAUUUUAAUUCCCUCCAUGGUAGAAAGAACUGCACGUCAUGGGUACUUUGUAAGGCUUCCAGAUUUAGGGUAAUUUUAAUUUUUUUCAAAUUAUAAACUUCAUGAAAAAAGAAGGUGGGAGAGAAUUUCCAUGCACACAGCAGAAUAUCAAAAGAAGAUUCUAUAUGUAAACCUAAAUUUCUGUUUCAUAUCAUUUGCUUUAAGAUAAAAUAAUAAAGUCUCUAUAUUACAUAGAGAUCUCUCCUGA